AGAUUCGUUCAUUGUCCUUAUAUUUCAGAUCAAAAGAAGAUUUACAGUUGGGGAAGGGGAAACUAUGGACAGCUAGGUAGAGCAGUUGACCUUGACCUGUCACCACAAGUAAUUGGUUGCCAUGACAACAUAAAAUGUGUACGGUGUGGAUCAGAACACAAUCUUGCAUUAACAGGUUUCUAUCAAGUGUUUAAUAGUUUUUAUGUACCAUUUAUGGGCAUUAUGUUUUCUGGUCUGUGCACUUGUUUGUUUGUCCGUUCAUUUGUUCCUACCCCUCAAUUGGAAUUUUAAGAAAAUUUUGCAGCUUUUGGUUAUUAUCUUCAAUAUUAUUAUAGAUAGAUAUAAACUUUAAACAGCAAUUAUGUAUAGCAAAGUAAGACCUACAAAUAAGUCAACAUUAACAAACCCUUAAAGAGUUAUUGCCCUUUAUAGUAAAUUUUUAACAAUUUCAUAAUUUUGUCAUGAAUCCAUCUUUGUCCUUUGUUUAAUAUGCACAUAGACCAAGGUGAGUGACACAGGCUCUUUAGAGCCUCUUGUUUAUAUGUGUAUUGUAUAAUUUCAGAUAAAGGGAGACUACUAACAUGGGGAUGGAAUGAGCAUGGAUUAUGUGGGAAUGGAAAUGAAGACAAUGUGAUGACUCCUUCUCUGGUGGACAAAUUAAAUGGUCACAUGAUUAAAACUAUUGGAUGUGGUGCUGGACAUUCAUUUGUAUUAGUUUAUCCAACAUGAUGUAAAAUAAAGAUGGCUUUUAAAUUAUUUAUGUAGCUGGGUUGCUGACUUAUUCAUAUGUAUUGAAACUUCUCUAUUCGUUCAUUUUCUAUUUUGUUUUGUAGUUUUGACACUGAUUUUGACUUAUUUUUAUCCCUUCAACAGUUUGUCCAUCUGUCCCAUUUCAGGUUAAGGUUUUUGGUUUCUUAAGGUAGUUUUUGAUGUAGUUGAAGUCCAAUCAAUUUGAAACUCAGUACACAUGUUCACUAUGAUAUGAUCUUUCUAAUUGUAAUGCCAAAUUAGAGAUUUUACCCCAAUUUCACAGUCCACUGAACUUAGAAAAUGAUAGGGUCGGUGGAGCAUCUGUGUACAUCUGUUAGACACAUUCUUGUUUAAUAUACAAAUUUGACUUGAUUUUU
rnacentral:lncRNA from 1 species